rnacentral:rRNA from 1 species
CGAGCAAGGCCGCGUGAACGAUGAAGUAUUUCGGUAUGUAAAGUUCUUUUAUUGAAGAAGAAAAAAUAGUGGAAAAACUAUCUUGACGAUAUUCAAUGAAUAAGCCCCGGCAAACUAUGUGCCAGCAGCCGCGGUAAUACAUAGGGGGCGAGCGUUAUCCGGAAUUAUUGGGCGUAAAGGGUGCGUAGGCGGUUUGGUAAGUCUAUAGUUUAAUUUCAGUGCUUAACACUGUUCUGCUAUAGAAACUAUCAGACUAGAGUGAGAUAGAGGCAAGUGGAAUUCCAUGUGUAGCGGUAAAAUGCGUAAAUAUAUGGAGGAACACCAGAGGCGUAGGCGGCUUGCUGGGUCUUUACUGACGCUGAGGCACGAAAGCGUGGGGAGCAAACAGGAUUAGAUACCCUGGUAGUCCACGCCGUAAACGAUGAGUACUAAGUGUCGGGGAAACUCGGUACUGAAGUUAACACAUUAAGUACUCCGCCUGAGUAGUACGUACGCAAGUAUGAAACUUAAAGGAAUUGACGGGACUCCGCACAAGCGGUGGAUCAUGUUGUUUAAUUCGAAGAUACACGAAAAACCUUACCAGGUCUUGACAUACUCUGCAAAGCUAUAGCAAUAUAGUGGAGGUUAUCAGGGAUACAGGUGGUGCAUGGUUGUCGUCAGCUCGUGUCGUGAGAUGUUAGGUUAAGUCCUAAAACGAGCGCAACCCUUGUCACUAGUUGCCAGCAUGUUAUGAUGGGCACUUUAACGAGACUGCCA